GCAGCAGCCGCGGUAAUACGUAGGGUGCAAGCGUUAAUCGGAAUUACUGGGCGUAAAGCGUGCGCAGGCGGUUCGUUAAGACAGAUGUGAAAUCCCCGGGCUUAACCUGGGAACUGCAUUUGUGACUGGCGAGCUAGAGUAUGGCAGAGGGGGGUAGAAUUCCACGUGUAGCAGUGAAAUGCGUAGAGAUGUGGAGGAAUACCGAUGGCGAAGGCAGCCCCCUGGGCCAAUACUGACGCUCAUGCACGAAAGCGUGGGGAGCAAACAGGAUUAGAUACCCGAGUAGUCCCUGUCUCUUAUAC
rnacentral:rRNA from 1 species